rnacentral:tRNA from 1 species
GGGUAUAGCUCAGUGGUAGAGCACAUGCUUAGCAUGCACGAGGUCCUGAGUUCAAUCCCCAGUACCUCCA